UCGUCAGCCGAAUGGGCCACCAUCGGCCCCGCCGUGGGCGGUGGGCAGAAGGCCAAAAGUUGGGUUUUUUAAACCCCGCUUCAAGGGCCGUCUGAAGAUCGAGUUUUCAUGACCCUAAGGCCAUAGGAAGAAACCCCAAACGUCGCCUUCCCCAUCCGCUUUCGGUGACUCGAAGGACUCCGGUGACGACACUUACACGGCGAUUCAGGUAUGUUUUCCUUUCUCUUUUUAUUCUAUUUAUUUCGUAUGUAAAAAAAAAGAAGAAAUGGACCGAGAGAAAAAGCCAAUCGGAAAAUGUAAAAGGAAUCACCUUUAAAACUGUUUUCUUUUUUUAUUUCUUGAAUGUUCGUGGAAAAAAAAAGAAAAAAGACCCCCUUACAGAUGUAAAGAUCGGUUUUUAAAUCGAUUCUCCCCCCAAAAAAAUACAAAAAGUUUUUUUUUUAUUUCUUUCUAUUCUUCCUGUCACUGCUUCGGUUGCUUUGCAAGUACUUGAUGGUGGCAAGUGGCGGUGGGUAGGUGACAGAGGGCAAGUGAGCGGCGAUGUGACAAUGGCGGCUAAUCAGGGCAAGUGGGCGACAGAGGCUGCGACGCUAGGCUAGGGUUUCAGAAAAUUGAAACCCUAGUUUGACUGGGUUUGUUGGGCUGGUUUUUGGUCUGUAUUUGGGUUGUUUGUUUGGGCCAAGUUUGGGUUGAUAUGGUUAUAAUGGGCCCUUUGUAAUUUUUUGGGUUUGCCUGGGCAAAAUUCGGCUGUACACCCUUCUUUCCACGACUUGCUAUUGUUGCAAAUUUUUGAAGACUGACACCUUUCCUUUUAAAGAUUCGAUGUGGAAUGAAGAGAUGGAGGCUUUGGGAAGCGAGGAAGAGGAACCACUCAAACCUCCUGCUUUGCUUAUCAUGUCUUUAAUGGACUCCUUAUCGUCCACUCUCCCUUCAUCCAAUGGGUAUUGUGAUGGGAUAUCAAGUGCAGUCAAUCCCUUAGCAUUUUUGCAUUGAUAUGGUCAGCACACAAGCGUUUCAACAGUAAUUUUACCACCUGUUAAUUAGAAUAUUCAUACAAGUAACCUUUGAGUAUAUAUAUACAUAAAUAAUUUCACUUGCAAAAUUAUCAUACCUUAGGUCUGUUUCUGAUAGCAGCAACAUGUAAAACAAUGUUGCCAUCAAUGUCUGCCCAACUCAGAAGUUCUUUCUCCCAACAGUUGGCAGCUUUAUGGCGGCUCCUUAUAAGCCACCCCACCAAGACUUGGAAAGCUUCAAACCUGUCAUUUUUUACAUGAUUCUUUACAUGUUUUUGGUUCCACUGCAUAUUAUCAUGUAAAAGAAUCUAAGUUAGACCCAAGAGCAAAGAAAGCAUUAUUCAUGGGUAUAACUGGUGGAGUAAAAGGAUACCGUCUCUGGUGUCCUGAUACAAGGAAAAUUAUUUUCAGUAGAGAUGUGACUUUUGAUGAAUCAACCAUGAUGAAGAACAAUGAUUCACAAAAGGAUAACACAACCAAUGGCACUUUGCAGCAGGUGGAGCUUGAAAAGGUUAAUGAUGAUCCAGCUAAUAUUGAAGGAACAAAUGAUGAAGAAGUUUCGACCCAAGAACUUCUACAGCAACAUGAUUCAAUUGCAUAUAGAAGGCCAAGAAGAGAGAUUUGUAUGCCUGCUCGCUUUAAUGAUAUGGUGGCCUAUGCACUUCCAAUUACAGAUGAUGAUGUUCCUUCUACUUACACAGAAGCAAGAAGUAACCCUGAUGGUGUAAAGUGGAAGCAAGCUAUGAAUGAAGAAAUGCAGUCUCUUCAUAAAAAUAGGACUUGGGAGUUGGUGACACUACCCAAAGGAAAGAAGGCAAUUGGAUGCAAAUGGGUAUAUUCAAAGAAGGAAAGAUUUCCUGAUAAAAAUGAAGUUCGAUACAAGGCUAGAUUGGUAGUAAAGGGUUACGCUCAGAAAGAAGGAAUAGACUACAAUGAAGUAUUUUCUCCAGUUGUGAAGCAUUCGUCUAUUCAGAUUUUGCUAGCCUUGGUUGCGUAAUAUGAUCUUGAACUAGUUCAGCUCGAUGUGAAGACCACAUUUUUACACGGUGAUUUGGAAGAGGAAAUCUAUAUGACUCAGCCAGAUGGAUUCAAGGUUACUGAUAAAAAAAAUUGGGUUUGCAAACUGACAAAGUCACUUUAUGGAUUGAAACAAUCUCCGAGGCAGUGGUACAAGAGAUUUGAUCAGUUCAUGAAAGGGCAAAGGUAUACAAGAAGUAAAUUUGAUCAUUGCGUGUAUUUUUAGAAGCUACAAGAAGGAUUUUUCGUAUACUUGCUCUUAUAUGUUGAUGAUAUGUUGAUAGCAUCUAAGAGUAAAGUUGAAAUUGAGAGAUUGAAGACUCAACUCAACCUUGAGUUUGAGAUGAAAGAUCUAGGUGAAGCUAAGAAGAUCCUUGGCAUGGAAAUAUGUAGGGAUAGAGCUCAUGACAGAGUUAGUUUGUCUUAGAAGCAAUAUUUAAAGAAGAUACUACAGAAGUUUGGCAUGAACGAGCAGACUAAAGUUGUAAGUACCCCGUUGGCUUCUCAUUUCAAGCUUUCUACACAACUCUCUCCUUCGACAAAUAUGGAACAAGAAUACAUGUUACAAGUUCCGUAUUCUAAUAUGCAAUUGUGUGUACAAGACCCGACAUUUCACAGGCAGUUAGUAUAGUGAGCAGGUAUAUGCAUAAUCCUGGAAAAGGACAUUGGCAAGCUGUGAAAUGGAUUCUACGGUAUAUUCAUAAGACCAUGGAUAUUGGAUUACUGUUCAAGCAGGAUACUACACUUGGUAAAGGUGUUGUUGGGUACGUUGAUUCUGAUUAUGCCGGUGAUUUGGACAAACGGAGAUCAACCAUUGGUUAUGUGUUUACUCUUGCUGGAGGACCAAUAAGUUGGAAGUCUACACUGCAGUCUACAGUUGCGUUGUCAACCACAUAAGCUGAAUACAUGGCUGUAACAGAGGUUGUAAAGGAAGCUAUUUAGUUACAAGGUAUGGUUAAAACCUUGGGUUGGUUCAGGAGCAUAUUAAUGUGUAUUGUGAUAGUCAAAGUGCUAUUCAUUUAGCAAAGAAUCAAGUCUAUCAGGCACGUACAAAGCAUAUCGACGUACGUUUCCAUUUUGUGCGGGAAAUUAUUGAUAACGGGAAAAUUCACCUUCAGAAGAUUAAGACUGCAGAUAAUCCUGCAGAUAUGAUGACCAAGGUGGUAACAACAAUCAAGUUCGAACAUUGUUUGAACUUGAUCAAUAUUCUGCAUGUUUAACACUUGAAGAAUCCACUAUCAAGUGUUGUUGACAAAGGCAGAGAGAAUUGUGUGAAGAUAAGAUUACUCGAAUCAAAUCUUCAAGGUGGAGAUUAUUGGGAAUUAUCCAUAUUUAUGGAAAAUCAAAGAUAUGGGUAUCAAAUAAUAGAAAUUCAAAGAUAUGGGUAUUAAAUAUUGGAAAGUCAAAGAUAUGGGUAUCGAGAUAUUGGCAUCAUAAAAUUUGAGAUAUUUGCAAUAUAUGGUCUCUAAUUGUAAAGUGACUUUGCAAGUUGAUCCCUGAACCUCAACUAUAAAUAAGCAUGACCAUCUCUCAUUCUGUAUCUCAAACUUGCCAUUCUUUACUUAAGGCAUUGUUUUCUCUCUCUCUCUCUUUGUAAAUUCUCACUUGUAUUUUGGAGUGAAAUAUAUUUGGUAGUGGCCGAGGAUGUAGGCAAAAUUUGCUGAACCUCGUUAAAUUAUUGUGUUCUUUAUUGUAUUAUUCUGCAUGAAUUGUGUGUGUGAUUGUAGUGAUUUAUUGUGCCAUUAAAUUACGAUUGAGGGAUAUUCUGGCUAAGGAAGACCUGGUACUUAAGCGAUCCUUGUGAUCCACCUCUCUUUCCUGGGAAUUGAACUUAGUGUGAUUUUUUAGUACAAAAAUUUUACUCUUUUACACGCUUCCGCACAACAUCUUUAAUGAUAAAAGCUUAAAGAAUAAUCUUUAAAAUUUGGUUGUUGGUAGCUUUAUUUGGGUAGAAUUUGAGAUUUAGUUCAUAUAUUUUAAAUGUUAAAAUUUUAAUUUUUUUUACUUUUUCAAUUUAAUAUUGUAAAAUAAAACCAUAAAAAAAAUUGUGUACAAAUAGUAUUGAAUUUACAUAAAAAUAUAUAAAAAAUGCAGCAUAAAUUUGAAUAAUAAUACAUGAACACUUAAAAUGAUAAUAUAUGAAAAAAAACUUAAGAUAAUAAUAUACGAUAAAUUUAAACAAUAUUAAUAAUGAAUUUAAAAUAAUAUUAAGCAUAAAUAUUAAAAUAAGGUUAGAUUUAAAAAUAUAUAAAAAUAAUGGAAUAAUAAAUACUUAAAUAAAUUAGAAAAAUAAGCAAAUUAAAUCAAGCUAAUAAGGAUUAAAUUGGAUUUAAAACAAAAUUAGAAGGCAAAAACGUAAAUAAAAUAAAAUAAAGGACCCAAUUGAAAGGCGCGAAUAACUCAAAGGGACCAAAUGGGGAAAUAUCCCCGCCUUUUGAAAUGCAUCGUUUCACCAGGACCAAAUCAGAAACCAAAUAAAAUUUAAAGUAUCAAUUGAAGAAAAUAAAAAAAAUUGAAUUAAAAUAAUAAAAAAUACGGAGGGGGCAAAUGCAUAAAUAUCCUUACCAAGACCAGAACAGGCAGAUCUAGCUGCCUCUGGGUCGAGUCAUCGGGUAUAGUCAAUACGGCACCGUUUUGGAGCCAUUGAAACAGACUUUAAAUGGUGCCGUUGCAUGGCCUUUAUAAAACAAAAAAAAAAAGAAAAAUAAACAAGUUUUUAGCCAUUUCGAAUCAGAUAAAAACCUUAGCCACACGCCGUUUAGAAGCCUGGCCAUUCAAAGGCCAAUCGAUCCCUGUCUGAACUUCGAUUGCGACAGAGUGAGCAAGGAUUCGACACCACCAAGUAAUUUUCUCACCUUAAAUCGUUUUUUUCUUUUUUUACACAUGAUGAGUAAACAAAUAGAUGAGUCUAGAACAGAAAAGAAAAACAACGAAAAGAAAAAAAAAGGUUUCAAAUCACCUUUAGAAAAUUCUGAUUCUUUGAUUUUUCGUCCCCUUUUAUAGAUUUUUAAUUGGCUUUUUAUAGCCGAAACGAAAAAAAGAAAAUAUGUAAAAAAGAAAUCUAUUAUGUUAUCUAGCUAUUUUCAUUUGCUGGCAUAUUGUUGCUCGCUUUUUACUGUUAUUCGUUUCUGUUUCAGGUGUACGAAGGAGCGAUGACGUGGAGGUGCAACACGCGUGGAGGCCUGGUUCCCAGCUGCGGCGUGGACUGUUCCAAAAACCCUAGGGGUUUCUGGAGAUUUCAAAUUGGGCCACUUCAAAUCGGGCUAGGGUUUAAUUAAGUCUAGGAUUGUAUUAGGUCUAGGAUUGGGUUAGAUUUUGGGUUUAGGCCUCAAUCCGAAUUUGGCCUAUUGUAACUGAACUUUUGGACUUAUUAAUGGUUAUUUUGGGUAUUGGGCUAUUAGGGUUUGUUGGGUUUGGGUUUUAGAUAUUUGGGCUGAUUUGUGUUUGUUUAUUUUGGGUUGUUUGUGUAAUUCUGGAAUUUUUAUUUUAUUGGACUUUUAUUUUUUGAUUUGGUUUUUUUUUUGUGUGGGCUCGAGCAGAUUGGGCCUGCUACAAUAUUGAUGCAAAACUUUGUCACUAAAGUGCAAAUUGUAACAAUAGUUAAGUAGUCUUUUGUUCGAAUAACAUUAGAAGCACAUCAAAGUCAAAGCACAUAGACUUUAAGUUCAUUGUUGUUAAAAUAAAAGUUUAGGGUGGUUAGAUGUCUAUAAAGUAUAUUGAGACAAACUCCAUGGUUGUGGAUUCGCUUAUUAAGGGACUACCACCCAAAGCUUUUUUCCUGAGCACACUGUUGAUAUGUGUGUAAUGUCAUUCAAGGAUAUUUGAUUUUAGUAGGAGUUUGUACUUUUAAACGUUUUUAUGUUAUAAAUACAUUUUCAAUUAUUUUAGUUUACAAAUAUUAAGUUUUUUUUUUGUAGAAAGAAAGUUUAUUUGGUAAAGUUUGAUCUCACUAAGAUUAAUGUGGACCGGUUAGAAUAUGCAUGUUUGAAUCAUAUUACAUGUAAUUUUCAUGUUACACAUCCAUACUUAAUCUAUGUCAUUUGGUUGUGCUAAUAUAUGUGAUUAAGGCUGGAUUUAGUUAUGAUAUAUGUAACAAAGUUGCAUUCUUUCUAUGUUAACAUAAUUAAUGGACAGAUUGUUCGAAAUGCCUUUUAGAUACGAUAGUAAAAUUUUGAGCUCAUAAGGUUAUAUAAUGACAUGUAAUUAUAAGGUAAUCGGUAUAUAUAUAUAUGUCAUCCAAGUGGUAUAUAUGGACAUCACAUAUAUAAUAAGCAUGUUACAUGUUAUUAUUUACUAUCAUAAAAGAUUAACUCAAAUUAAAAGUGACCUAAUUUGGUUAAGAUUUAUUGGAUUUUAGUUAUUAAAUAAAAUAUAGGUCAAUAAUAUGUGUAGAUACUCUAGUAACUAAUUUCUAAUUUAUGAUGGGCUGAUUAGAAAUUAGGUUAAUGUGAAAAUGUUAUAUAUUAGGAUUUUAGUCUCCAAGUUACGCAUAUGUAACUUUUCUAAUAUCCCAUCUUGAGAAAAGAGAGAGUCACCUUCUUUAGAUUACUUGUGAGCUAAUUUGGAAGAUCAAAACCUUAAAAUUCGUAGAUUUCAAGAAAUCGGUAAAUUCAAAUACGCUUCUGCAUUUAGUUUUGUUCUUAAUUAUUUGACAUGAUAGAUUCUGAUUUAUUAAGUUUUGUAAAAGAGUUUUACGGUUUUAAUAGGAUAAUUACGAAUCCCAAAUAUAAACUGUAAAACGGACAUGAAGAAUAUAAAAGAAAUAUUACAAGAAUUUUGAAAGAGAAAAUUAAAUUGAAAAUUUUAAUGUUAUUUUUAUCUUUCAUAAUUAUUUUUAUUUAUAUUUUAUUUACAAGAACAUUUUAUUAAGAGUUUAUUAGGAUUAAGUUUAUUUUUACUUUUAUUAAAUAAAUGUUAGACUAAAAAUAAACUUUUUUUUCCACUGUUGGUAUAAUGGAUAGUAGGCUAGGUUGUCCUUUUUUAUUUGUUUAGGCACCCGUGUAUGAGAAUAAUUUAUAUUAGAAUAGUCCUAAAGGUUAAAGAUUUUAAUAUUAAUAAAAUUUUGUCACAUCAUUAAAUUUUAAAAAUAUAAAAUUAUUAUUAUACAUUCGUUCAUAUUAAAUUUACUUUUUAACUUUCGUUCUUCUUAAACAUAAAUAAUUAAAAUAAAAAUAGAAAAAUAGAAUAUUUAAAAUUUAUACAAUCCUUAAAGAUUUAAUCCAAUAUUUUUUUUUGUUUUAAAAAAUGUAUAAUAUGAAAUAGAAAAAAAAAUUAAAAUGGAAAAACUCCAUUGCCUAUAAACUAAUUUUUUUUAAAAAAUUGGUUACAAAAAUUAAAAAUAUUAACUUCUGAAAAAAAACUAAAAAUGAUUAAAAUUUAUAAAAGAAGAAAAGAUGUUUAUUUAUAAUUUAAAAAAAUUAAUUAUUUUAAGUAAUUUAAUUAAAGUUAAAUUAAGUUAAGAAAAAGGAGAAAUGGAUAAGUAUAUAAUAAUACAUAAUUUGUUAAAUAUAUAAAGAAAUUUAUUUGAUUUAGUACCUAAAUAUUAAUAUUCGAAACUCUCGAUUUUUCACAAUUUAUUCAAUCAAAUUUAGAUCCAACUUUAAUUAUAUUACAAAGACAUUCUAUUUUAUUAUUUUAUUAACGGGUGAAAAAACUUAGUUCAACCCAUAAACAUUGACCACAAAGGGAAAUUUGAAACACUUACCACCAAUCCCCUAUCAGAAAGUCUUUCCCACAUUCAACUAGAAAUCAGAGCUCACCAAAAUGUUUAUUCUUUUCAAUCUGAACCGACUCUACAAUCACUUAUUGCUCAUGGUCUUCAGCCUAUAAACCCAGAAGCAUUAUUAACUUCUAAAUCCAAAACACUAAUAUCAGCAUCCAACCCUACAAUGGUAGUCUUAUUGACUCAUUUAAACAAGUUUCCUUUGUCAAUCUAUAUUCCAUAUUGGGUAAUCUCCAAUAUUAAUUCAGAAUUUAGGAUAGCUGGAACAAGAAUAACAGCAAAGAUGCAAAGCGAAACGACUUGUAGGAGGAGGAAGAACCUUCUUUUGGGUACAAACCUGUAUAGCAUAUAAUAGGAUGUCCUGUAUAAUGUCACGAGAGCUAGUACCGUUGCCAAGCAGUAAUUAGUAGUGCUGAGUUUAGAAUAGGAAACGGAUCCAGGAGUCGAAAGAUAGAAAAAAUACUGAAGUGCGAGUGUCCGUAUGGAAACAGCAACCAAAAGCAUGUAACAGGUCCCAAACAAGGAAAGUGUUAUGAGAAUAAACAAGGACAUUGAACGGCUGGGUAGGAGAUACGCUGUUAAAACAGUUGUUGCCCAAAAGGUUAAAGUGUUGUAUAACCAAAACAUUGUGGACACGUCUAGUAUAUUUUCUAUUUUUUUUUCUUCAGCGGGUGGAGGACUUGGUACGGGUCCAGUGCUGGUUGAACCUAAAGAUAUGUCAUACGUGAGAUGGAAAUUCUGGGAAUUUGAAAUGGUAUCAGGCUGCUUUGGAGGGUUCAAAGUGGCAGUGUAUGUGGCUGUUAUAAUUAGCACUGUGACUACUAAAAAUGUGUUACGCGUCUCAUGUGGGAUUCCCUUCUUUCCACGACUUGCUACUGUUGCAAAUUUUUGAAGAACUGACACCUUUCCUUUUAAAGAUUCGAUGGGGAUUGAAGAGAUGGAGGCUUUGGGAAGCGAGGAAGAGGAACCACGCAAACCUCCUGCUUUGCUUAUCAUAUCUUUAAUGGACUCCUUAUAGUCCACUCUCUCUUCAUCCAAUGGGUAUUGUGAUGGGAUAUCAAGUGCAGUCAAUCCCUCCGCAUUUUUGGCAUUGAUAUGGUCUCCACACAAGCGUUUCAGCAGUACUUUUACCACCUGUUAAUUAGAAUAUUCAUACAAGUAACCUUUGAGUAUAUAUAUACAUAAAUAAUUUUACUAGCAAAAUUAUCAUACCUGAGGUCUGUUUCUGAUAGCAGCAACAUGUAAAACAGUGUUGCCAUCAAUGUCUGCCCAACUCAGUAGUUCUUUCUCCCAACGGUUGGCAGCUUUAUGGCGGCUCCUUAUAAGCCACCCCACCAAGACUUGGAAAGCUUCAAACCUGUCAUUUUUUACGGCAAGAUGGAAAACCG
rnacentral:lncRNA from 1 species